UGUAUGUCGUCCCACAAAGGGAAAGUCAUUAAAUAAUGGAAGACUGAGGUCAUGCCCAUCUUGAGAAUGACUGCACAGGACAAAAAAAUAACAGGCUGAUUUAAACAAAAUGAGCAGGAAACAACAGCAUGUUGCCAUACACAAAGCAUGGAGCUUAUGUCUUGGUGAAGGAAGACAAAGCAGGUGUGACUUGAUUUGCCAUGAGGGCACCCUUCUGACCUGCAAACUGAAGACUUGCCUGUUUACAGGAUCAAUGUAAUCAAGGAUCAAUGUAAUCAGGAUCAAUGUAAUACGGGACAUGAUUAGUAUGGAGAGUCCCUGUAGCCUUCUGCUUACCUCUUGGAUGUGGCAGUACAUGGAAAGCAUCCUGAACCCCUCCCUCCAAAAGGAGCGUGUAAUCUGCAAGUGCACCGAGAAGGGCUUUGGUGACUGGAGAGGUCAUAGCACGAGUCCCUGGAACACAGAGAUCACAGAUCGUGCGAGGACUGAACCCACUGUUACCAUGGGGUUCCUGGCACAGCAAGGCUGGAGCCUAUGCGGAGAGAAGACAUCCGAGUAUAAGAAAACAAUCUGAAGGAAAUAUUUUAAUUCUCCACAAGACCUCUCAGUGAAGAGCCCUGAGGGUGGCUGACACGUGCACAAAGGUGGAAGAAGUUAAAGGGCACUGGAAAGAAGAUCAGAGGAGAUUGGUAUUUCUUGGCAGACGGCCUGGGGGUUGGAGAGUAGAGGAGGUAUGGGGAAGAGAUUUCUUUUUGUGCCUGCUUAUCUUACGCUUAUUGAAAUUGGCAAGUGACUUCAGUGGAGAAGAUGCAUGGUGCUUUUUGGUUCUUUCCACAGCUAUGACCACUCUAACCUGUGUGUGAAGUGGGGCAAAGUUGGUUCCUACAAAGCUACAUCUGCUGACUGCACACAGACCCUCCAGAAAACCUGUUGACAACUAGCUGAAACGUACUUAAAGACCAAGUCCAAAACAGCACGCUUUUUUUACCCUUGCUGUAAAGAGUUUCUUCCAGUCUCGCUUGUUAUGAAAUCAAGAAUUGUCAUACAUGGUUAUAGACAUACUUAUUACUUUGGUUUGGAUACCUCACCUCUGAUGGUAGUGCAAUAUUUCAGUAUAAAGAAUAAGAAUCUCUUCCUGAAAACAACAGGCAGAAAUUAUUCACAUAGAUAAGACCUAAAAUUGU